CUAAGUUUCUGACCUAACAAAACUGUGGGAUAAAAACUAACCAGCUAUCCCUUCCACCUGAUUAAUCACCUUUUUUAAAGACUCCUGUAGAGGACACUAAUCAUUGACUGAACUUCAGCUCUCAUCAGCAGGACUCAGCAUCUGACUGUACUGCAACCAGACAAAUAGAAAAUUUGAUACUACUGGGACAAAUCAGGUACGUAGAGACAGAGAAGAAUCUCCACACCAGAUCACCUGCUCCUGUGUGGGCUCCUCUCUACAAGCUGCAGUUCCGGCCAAGAGUCAAGUCACUUCCUGAAGGGACUCUCUAUAUUCAGACCAUUCAGCUUCCUUCAGACCAUAUCCACCUGCUGUGUUGUGGGCUCUGCCAUCGGUUGCUGUGUGGAGAUCUGCACCAAUGUGGUAUACCAUGGUCUUCAGGGGGACAAUUUGUAUUAUCAUGACCCUCUGUAUGAGCUGCAGGGGAUCUUCUGCUUGUAGCACCUCCUCCCGCUUUUUUUUUUUUUUUGUGGAACUUGGUUUCGGUUGGGUUGUUUCUCUCACAUUUUCUCGCUUCUCUCUCCCAGCUGCUGCUGUGCAAUGUUUUUCAGCCUGACUGGUUCAGCUUUGGCCAGCAGACAGUCCCUUUUUGAACUUGCUGGAACUGACAUGGAUCUGACAUGGAGAAGCUCCUGGUCUUUUCUCAUUCUCAUAGAGGCCAUCCCUGCAGCCCCCAAGAUACUAAAACCUUGCCACAUAAACCCAGUAAAAUUCUCUUUUUGGAAAUCUAACAUCAAGCUUUUGCAUUAUAUUAAAGUUCUAUCUUAAGCCAAGCUGUAAUGGAAUAUGGUUACAUAAACAGUAGUCCAAGUCAUGUUGAAACGUUAUGCAUGAUUGUUCUGCUUGAAACAUCUAUUAUUUUUCUCUGAGACCCCUUUGUGUACUUUACAAGAAACAAAAUGUGAAUCUAUUUGAACUUUCCUGUGAUGAAGUUUUUACACAUUGAAUAUAAGCAGUCCCAUUAACUAUAUCAAGAUUUCUGAAAAAAGAAGACAAAAUUCACCUCAAAAGCUGAUCCUUCUGAACAACAACAAAAGAUAAAUGUUGGUUGAUACUAGAUUAAAGUUGCUUUAAUUUGUAUUUCAAUUGCACUUUUCCCUCUACAUCAAUGUUUAUGAAGUUUCAGUGUUUUUUAAAGGGUGAAGGCCGUAUUCAGUAGCUGUGUAGUUGAACUGAACACAACAGGUUAUCUUUUUAUUGUUGGUUAGCCCAUAUUUCUCCUACCAGAUUAAGGAUUGACUAUGAAUUAUGCUAAACAAUAUUCAUCCUCUGGUGUGGAGUAAAACUCUGGGAUGAAUUUUGCCUCACUCAUUUAACUUACUCCUUCAACAACUCCUUCAAUCUUUUCCUGUUAGGAUAAGAUUAAUCAGUUCUAAUAUUUUGAGAGUUCCAAGACUCAGCUGAUGAGUAUCACUUGCAUGAAACAAGUAUCAGAGUAAUUUUGUUCUGUUCAUCAUUGUUUGGGUAGAGGUUAGACAGCAAUUUACCUGUUCACAGAAGAAAGGAGAUAUAUAGAAAAAUGAUAAAACUCCUGGAGAAUUAAAAUUUUAAGUCUGAGGGCUAACUUCAGCCUACAAAGGAGAAAACUGUCUGGAGAUGGUCCUGGUUGAGGCUAGAUGAGGCAACCUUCAUCAUCCACUCCUUGCCAGAAAAAUUGUAUUAACAGUGACUUCUCAUGUAUCCUAUCCUUCUGCAUAGACACAAAGACAGACAUGAUGUUUGAACAAUUAGUCAUUCUUCUUCAUUCAUACCAAGUCAAUUUAAGUAUGUUUUGCACACUUUUUUUUUUUUUUAUUUUCUAAAUUGGUCCUGAAAGAAAAAGGAAAAAGGAAAAAAAAAAAAAAAGAA